UAUGGCGGAAGGGAGGCCCAGUCCCCGCGCUCGGCUCACGGCGGCAGCUUGAGGCCUCCCUCGGGCCUGGGCUGGCGUGUCUGGGCGCUGGGUCCGCCGCCGUCCUGCCUGGAGGGCGGUGCCGGCACACGCAGGUCGGGGUUCGGGGCCCCCGUGCCUCCGCUCAGCGUCUGCCGGGGAGCGCUGGGAGCCCAGGCCGGCGACGGCUGGAAGGCGCUGCCGCACGGGAAGGCGCUGCUGCCCGUGAGGGGCUGGCUGUCCGCAGCAGGGGCUGAGCUCACGGUCCCCUCUGCCCGCCGGCGUCUAACUUCAACAGACGCUGACUGACUGCUCUGACAGUGGUGUCUGGGCGCUUAAAUACUCGUGUGUGGACCAGGCUAGCGAUUACAAUCGUGUUUGCCAGCUAACCGAUCGCUAAUACAGCCGACAGCUGAUUCCAGAAGAGGCCUACGCUUUGUCUUGGGGUGUCUUGGAGACUUUUCCAACCCUCAGGAAGUACGAUAUAUGAUCAAACAAUUUUAAAGAGAAGGUACCUUCCAGAAUGGACCAGCUUCUGUUACCACCAACCAUCCCACUAUAAUGUCUCUGUUGUGGAGAAUAUUCUCCAGAUCAAGCUCCCAGGCAACUGGAAUCUGUUAUUUACAACAGUUAGUACAGCUGAAUGUUCUUUAAAUCAGAAUGACUGAAGUUGAAAGAGCAAGACCUACAUCUGUUAAUAAUUCUGUCUGGAUGCUUUGCAGCUCAGAUUUCAUUGAUUUUAUUUCAGAUAAUUCUCAAAUACCUGCCUUCAUUUCAGACAUAUUCCCAUUCUCUAUUGUACUGUGUUUGUGAGUAGAACAUGGGCUCAUGGGGUGUUCUGCCACGGAUCUUGCUGCUUCUCUUAAGAAAGAUCUUGUUACUAGCAAUGUGUUUAUGUACAGGUGUUUGGAGGCCUCCAG